CGCCAAUAAGACUGGAACAGAAUUGCACACUUGAAAAUGAUUGAAUCCAGAAGACAGGCAAAUGGAAAUGACGUACAAUAGUUUUUGUUUCGCUCGUUUUGCGCUGGACGAGCAUAAAAACAAAAAAAAAAGGAAAGAAUGAAAAUGGGUUGUACUGAUGGGGUCAUACAACGGCAGACAGAUUGGGUAUACGCGGACACGAGUACUAUAUACCACGACGACCACCACCAACGGGAAUGCGGCCAUGUUGAUGCCUAAAAUUAGCCGGACGACGGCUGAUUGGCACGGACCAGAAGAACCGACGGAAUAGAACAAAAACAUACACUGUACACUGCGCUAUACUCCCCGCGCCCGUGUGUGUGUGUGUGUGUGUACGUACUAUACAGUCGUGGCCCUAUCGAAAAUUCAAGCACAUCAAAAUGUCAAGUGCUUUCCUUUUUUCCUGUUGUUGACCUCGAUCCAACAACGUUACGUACACCAUCGGCAACAACAUUCCCGAGUGGCACGGAUAGUUGGGGGGCUAAGAUUCUUUUUCUUUCGAUUUUCGGGUAUGACCUCAUCAGCGGAAUUUCAUCAUUACAAAAAAAACGCAGUGUGGAGUAGGAGUCAUUCGUACGUGGAGGUAGUGUUUUUCUUAGAAAACAGAAUCCAAGCAGAAAAAAAAAAAAAGUUUGAAGAGUUUUGAAAACUCGAAAAAAAUAAAAGUUGCGCAAUGGUACGGUGGCGCAUUGAAAUCCGGUGGCCGGCCAGCCGACGCCGCUCCUCCCUUCCGUUUUCUCUCUCCCCUCUCUGCCUUUGUAUGUGGUGUGUGUACGUCGUGGGGGGAAGAAGGUUAGGAGAAGGUGGGGGGGAUAUGGAGGUUGGGAACUUACACACGCAGACACACACACACACGGGAGUGAAAAGGAGGAAAAAGAAUCGGAACAGUCCGGAAAGCGGAUCAGUCGACGUGCUUACGUCUUUGACGUUGCAGCCCUUCGUUUUUUUGUGUGUACAUGUGCGUUGUUGUAUUGUAGUAGUGUGUGAAAGAGCACGGUCCCGGAUGUUACAUGGUGUGUAUAUGUGUUGUGUGUGUGUGUCGGUGCGUGUGAGUGUGACUGGACAUUUGAUUCGCCAUCCGUCGGGCCGAUUGAAUUAAAAAAAAAAAAAAAAACUAAGAAAAACUAAGACAAAUGGACGGCUAAAUUAUUUAUCGAGAAAAGCCGAUCCAUCGGAUUUGCUUUGGUUUCGGGUUACUCUAAACCGAAAGAAUUUGUGGUGUUGAAGAAAAGAAAGAAUUGCGAAUUGCUUUUCGUUUUCCAUCCCGUGUCGUCUCCAUCCGUCCGCACAGUUUCCGCUCCGAGUUUAUUUGUUCGUUUUUCCCUUUUGUUUUUGUUUUUUUGUUUGUUAGUUUUGAGGGGGGACCCAAGUGAAGGAGCUACACCAAAGGGGGGUUGUGUUUUCCUUGCCGUCUCCACACGGUUCACUACUUGAGAAGAAAAAAGAAAAAGAAUAAAAAAGGAAAAUCUGCUCAAGAAUUUCCAGGGAACCUGGAGCGCACACACACAGACAACAUCCAUUCGAUAACGACCGCAAUGUCAUAAGGAACCGCUGCGCCAGUGUGCCUCUCUCUCAUACACACACACACACACACACAUCUAAGGUGUGUUUUUAUCUGUUGGUCUUUGGUGUGUCUGUGUGUGCCUGUGUGUGUGUGUGUGUGCGUGCGUGCCGUGCCGUGAAGAAGCUGCCCGAGACUCUUGUUUGCUAGUUCUCUCCCGUUCUCUCUGAACCUCCUUGUGUGGUUACGGACGCGUGUUCCGGUCGGAAUGAAGGAAAUAAAGAAGGAAUAGAUCAACGAUUAAAAGGGGGGGAAAAAAAAAGAGGAAAGAUAGACAGGAAAGAUAAGAAGAAGUUGGCCAAAAGUUUUGUCUUCGAUGAACGACAGUCGAUGUGAUGGAUCGUCGGGUUGGAGAUGAAGUAGACGAAGGGGUAGGGCGAGGCGAGCUAGACAAAUCGCCCGUCAUCACGACCAAGAAUCGGCCAUCAUCACCGACAUCAUUAUUGCCACCGCUGCAGAGGCGGCCAUCGACACCAACGACGCCGAUCGCAUGCCCGGCUCACGAUCCUCUCGCCGCCUGUCCUGUCGUCGACGACAUGGUCCACCAGUCGACGACGGACAAUCAAGUGGAACAUCAACAACAGCAAAGAGAAGCGACGAGGACGCCCUUACCGUCGACACCCAGCGUCUUAGUCGAGUGCAGUCCCACAACUCCUCCUCCUGCCGACGAAGACGAUGUCGUCUACUACUCCGGCUAUCACUCGGAGGAGGUCGAUGAAGAUUUGGAGGAUUUAGAAGAAGAACAAGAAGAGGAUGACGAUGAUGAAGUGGUAGAAGAAGAAGAAGAAGAAGAAGAAGAAGAAGAAGACGAAGAAGAAGAAGAAGACCAAGUCGAUGGUCACGAUGAAGAGGAAGAUGAUGAUGGUUUACCGUACCCGGGUUUCAUACCCGUCACGCUCGGCUUCAUGACUCAAUACAGCCAGCCAAGAAACCUAUGUUUACGGAUGAUCACCAAUCCGUGGUUCGAGAGGAUCAGCAUGGCCGUCAUCUUUUUCAACUGCGUCACGUUGGGCAUGUACCAGCCCUGUAUCGACCAGGUCUGCAACACCAAUCGAUGCCGCAUCCUCCAGAUGCUGGAUGAUUUCAUAUUUGCCUUCUUCGCCCUGGAGAUGUCCAUCAAAAUGAUCGCCAUGGGUGUUUACGGUAAAGGAACUUACCUGGCCGAAACGUGGAACAGGCUCGAUUGUUUUAUCGUCAUCGCCGGAGCGGUGGAAUAUUGCUUGGAUAUGGAGAACAUGAAUUUAUCCGCCAUCCGGACCAUCCGAGUUUUGCGGCCACUAAGAGCUAUCAACCGAAUACCCAGCAUGAGGAUAUUGGUGAUGCUGUUACUGGAUACAUUACCCAUGCUUGGCAAUGUUCUGUUGCUCUGCUUUUUCGUCUUUUUCAUCUUCGGCAUCGUCGGUGUCCAGCUCUGGGCUGGUAUUCUUCGUCAGAGGUGCUACCUUGAUCUACCGAAGGGCAUUGUCCCACCAGCCACAUUCACGACCAUCGACCGAACUCUGCCCAUCUUUUACAAACCCAAGACCCACUACAGGCCUCUGUCCAGCUAUUAUAAAGUGCAAGAGACGGAGAAGGACUACAUUUGUUCCCUGGCCAAAGACAGUGGGAUGCAUACAUGCGCCUCGCUGCCUCACACCAAAUCUGACGGGCGAGUGUGCAAUGACAGCGUCGUGCCUGGCAUACCCGUUGGAAUGGACGGUCUCUCAGUCAACGGCUCUUGUAUCAAUUGGAAUCAAUACUACACCGAUUGUAGAGCUGGUGAAAAGAAUCCUUUCCAGGGAGCCAUAUCCUUUGAUAACAUCGGUUUGGCUUGGGUUGCCAUCUUUCUAGUCAUUAGUCUUGAAGGAUGGACCGACAUCAUGUACUACGUCCAGGAUGCCCACUCUUUCUGGGACUGGGUUUACUUUGUCCUCCUUAUUGUGAUCGGCUCGUUCUUCAUGAUCAACCUGUGCCUGGUGGUAAUAGCCACGCAGUUCUCCGAGACGAAGAAGCGGGAAAUGGAGCGGAUGCGUCUGGAACGGGCGCGCUACCAAUCGACGUCCACAUUGGCCAGCACGUCGGCCAGCGAGUCAACUUCAUGCUACCGGCAGAUCAUCAAGUACAUUGCACAUUUGUGGCGGAGGAGCAAGCGACGUAUACUCAGACGAUACAGAGCCUACCGCAGCCGGAAGAAGCUGCAGCAACAGCAACAACAGCUGGAUCACCCACAAUACGGCAAACAACAAUCAGCGACGCAUUCGCUCAGUUUAAGGACGCGGAGGAAACAGCAACGGCGCAGGAAGAGGAGGAGGAGGCGGAGCAGGCAUCCGCAUCCUGAAUGCCCUAAACAUGGCGCCCAACAACAAGAGCAACAACAACAACAUCAACAUCAAUUGCAGAGAAAUAGCCAAUGUUCUAGCAGCUAUCGAGUACCGUCCGUAAGUUCACAGGUAGCGUUGAGAAUCAAUGAUGGGCCGGCUUCGCCUCUCGAUUCGCCCGUCCCCAUACUCUCAAAUGCUCGGCGCGCCAGCGUUGCCGUCUCCAUCGACCAUCACCAUCAGCGAUCCUCUCCAUUCCUCUCGCCCAGAGGAUCUUUGGCAAUGGCCGAUGAUUCGUCAGAUUCGUCGCAGUUGUUGACGCCAAGGACGCCUAGGCGUCGCCGAAGUAGUGUUAUGUUUAGUGACGUUGUCGUCGCUCACGGCAUGAGUAACAGUGUGGCCGAUGUCAAUGUCUGCUGGAGCGAGAAGAUCACCCAGACGGGCGGUUUCACUACGGAAUCGGUUGCAUCCGCCGGAAGUGAAUCUCGUCAGCCACAUCAUCAGACAUCUGGUUCGUCUAAUCCGUCGUCACCGCUGUCGUUCAAUCGCAAAUCGUCAUUGAGGCAACGAGUCACAUCCAACCAGACGACCGACGAACUACGGCCCAGUUGUUCAGCCCCGGGUCCAGGAUCCGGUACGACAUCUGGUAGCGUUGCAGCGACGUCCACCUUGACACAAGUCCCAAAUGGAGCUGGUCUAACCUGUCAAGAAUUGCUGGCUCUUAGUGGAGCCCUUGGGGCAGCGCUGCCCACUCCUUUAGCGUUGCCCAACUAUCCGUCGGAUGAGCCGAAAACUGCGGUAAUGGUUGUUGCUCCGGUCGCGGCCAAACAUAGCAACAACCAUAAAUGCAAUAACCAGUUAUUGGCACCGCCGGGCAUGAUGCCCAUCUUACCAACUCUGGCCAUGUCUCUUUGGCCGGAACCGUUUCAAGACCCUGGACGUAGCGGCGACGAUCAUUGGACAACGAUCCCGUGCGUGAACAACAGGAAGCCGGCAGAGACGGCAGAGACGGCAGUUGACGUGGAGACGGACAAUGAAGACGAUAGGAAUUGCAUUUGCUGCUCAUCGGACGACGAGGAAUAUUCAGCGUCCGAUGAAGAGGCCGGUUCGGAAGAUCAAAACGAAGACUAUUACGAAGAAGAUGAAGAACAACGAGGAGCAUCCGUCGAAGUGUUUGAGCAUCGUCGUUCGCCCUUGUCUCGCUAUUGGUCGCUCGUCAAGGAAUAUUAUAAAACGUUCCAGCGGAGUGUCAAAGCCCUCGUCGAGCACAAGUACUUCCAGCAGGGACUUUUGGGAGCCAUUCUCAUCAAUACGCUCAGCAUGGGCAUCGAAUAUCACAACCAGCCAGAAGAACUGACGCUGACAGUCGAAUUUAGCAACAUCGUUUUCUCAGCCAUUUUCGCCAUUGAGAUGCUGCUCAAAGUGAUCGCCGAAGGUCCGCUCAACUACAUCGGCAACGGUUUCAACGUCUUUGACGGUGUUAUCGUCAUUCUCAGUUUGGUGGAAGUGUUUCAGAGCUUGAAUCGCUUCGAAGGGGAUGACGGUGGCAGUUCGGGCCUUUCGGUUUUGAGGACGUUUCGUCUUUUGCGCAUCUUGAAAUUAGUCCGUUUCAUGCCAAACUUGCGUCGUCAAUUGAUCGUCAUGUUGCGCACAAUGGACAAUGUGGCCGUCUUCUUCGCCUUGCUCCUGCUCUUCAUUUUCAUAUUCAGCAUUUUGGGCAUGAAUUUGUUCGGCUGCAAAUUUUGUCGCAAAACCAGCGACCAGUCGACGAGUUGCGACCGUAAAAACUUCGACUCCCUCCUGUGGGCCAUAGUGACCGUGUUUCAGAUUUUGACCCAAGAAGAUUGGAAUGUUGUUCUAUUCAAUGGCAUGGAGAAGACAAGCCAUUGGGCAGCGCUUUAUUUCGUGGCGCUCAUGACAUUUGGCAACUAUGUCCUGUUCAAUCUCCUAGUCGCCAUUCUCGUCGAAGGCUUCUCCGCUGAGAGAACGGAGCGACUGGAACGUGAACAGCGUGAGCAGGCCAGACAGGAACGCCAUGCAGCAAGAGCUCUUGCCACGGCUGCGGCUUUGUCAAUCCAAGAUGAGGCAACAUCGGGUGGCUCUUGUCACGGGGAUCAGGAGACGGGUCCACCGGCACCUGAAAAUUGUUCGCCCGAUUCGCCGUCGUCUGCCGACGGUGUUGGGUGUCAUCAACAAGAGCUGCAGCACGACAACUAUUUCUCGAGAUCUUCGGUGACGGAGGAGAGUUGCAGUCCUGUCGGCUACUGUGCCAAUGACAUCGCGGUCGAAGACGUAUUGGUCUCCGUCGUCGAUAGCGCCCAGCUGGCCGACUUACUACUCGAGGAGGAACGCAAACAAGCCAAACUGGCACUAUUGGAGUCUCAACAACAGCGCCGACUCAAGGAGAAUUCGUACAAUGCCAUUCAGGAGCAACAGCGCCGUGAAUCUUUAUACAGUAAGAGUCAUCACGAUUGCGCUAACAAUCCCAACCAUUACGAUCCAAAGUCAAACAUCGAACGAGAAACGAUCCUGUUCUGUCAGCCGCAGUCAUCUGUUGUUCCUCGAUCGGAAUUUCAAACGCGGACGACAAAUGGAUCGGAUAGGAUGGAAACGCAUCCGAGCGCAACUGCGUCGCAGCAUUUAUUGCUUCCGCCAACGACAGCUCCGAUCAUCACCCACACAGCCGCCACUCCGCAAGGAUCUCCAAAUGCCACGCUCGAUUCCAUUUGCAGUCACAGGGAAAGCGCGCCGUGCGUCAGACUAUCUCCGUUGAAGUCGGUCAAGUUAGUAGGCGUGUCUCCGCCACGUCGUACUUCGGUAGAAGGUUCUCCUUUACACGGAGAUACUGGUAUCAAUUUGGGACUCGAGACGUUGGGUUCGCCGUCUUUACUGCGAACGCCGAGCAACAGAUCCUGCGCUAGCUCCAGAUCGUCUAGACGAUCGAGUUUGAAUCCCAUCAUGCCCAGUCGAGGUAUUCUCAGCAGAAAGAGCAGCCUGGCUGCCCCCUCAGGGGGAGGAAUGGUAUCAUCGCCGGAAGAGUCAGCCGAUACCAAUUCAUUGUUGCCUUUAUCGUCCUCGGAGAUGCUGGGCGGCGGAAGUGGCGUCCUUCGCCAGGGCAGCAAGAAAUUGUGGAGGCGGCUGUCAUCGCGGGAUACGGCUGGCAUCCCCACUAAUGGAUCGCAUGCCGAUCUGGAAGCUGAGCUGGAAGAGGACCACGCAUCCAACGCGGGCAAUUACAGCCUUCUAAACAACCUGAACAACCAACGACAACCGAGUUGCAGUAAUCAUGAUCGACUUGCCUGUAAUGGCAGCGCCCAACACGAUGGAAUUCACCAGCCAUUCACGCGGAAACCGAUUCUGUCUCAUCAGAAUUCUUUCGGCAGUCCGACAACAUUGAGUCCGCAGAAUUCUAUCCGCAGUAACGGCUCGUCGCCGCGGAGUCCAUCACCCGGAUUCAAUAACCUGGCGCCGAAUAACAACAACAACGGCAGUAAUUUGAAUUUCUCCAUCGGAGAAGGGCAAACGGGGGCCAACAGCACGACAACCAAAACAGAGGAGGAAGUGGUAGUGAAGAAACGGCUAAUUGUUCGCCUUUAUGAACGAUUCCCUCAACUCAAGAAGCGGGAAGACUACGCCCUCUUUAUUCUGUCGCCGGAAAAUUCCAUUCGGCGGUCAUGUAGUACGUUGGUGAGAAAGAGUUGGUUCGACCAUACAAUCCUGUUUUUCAUCGGAUUGAAUUGCGUCACGUUGGCCAUGGAACGGCCGCUCAUUCCACCCGAUUCGUUCGAGCGUGCCUUCCUCUCCGUGUCCAACUAUGUCUUCACUUUUGUCUUUGCCAUCGAAAUGAUUUUGAAAGUCAUGGCCGUCGGCAUGUUUUACGGCCCAAGUGCUUAUUUUGAUUCCGGAUGGAACAUCAUGGACGGUCUCCUCGUCAGCGUGUCCAUCGUUGAUAUUCUCAUGUCACUUUUGUCUAGCGGCAGUCCGCGCAUCUUUGGCAUACUCAGAGUCUUCCGGCUGCUGCGAUCCUUGAGGCCGUUGCGAGUCAUCAACCGAGCGCCCGGCUUGAAAUUGGUGGUGCAAACCUUACUAUCUUCUUUGAAACCCAUCGGAAACAUUGUGCUCAUUUGCUGCACUUUCUUCAUCAUCUUCGGAAUCCUCGGAGUCCAGUUAUUCAAAGGGAGUUUCUUCUACUGUGAGGGGCCCAACAUCCGUUCGGUCCGCAAUCGAACGGAUUGUUUGGCGGCGGAUCCUCGCAACAUGUGGGUCAAUCGCGCCUACAAUUUCGAUGACCUCGGACAGGCCCUAAUGGCCCUUUUCGUCCUUUCGUCCAAAGAUGGCUGGGUCAACAUUAUGUACACUGGGCUAGACGCCGUCGGUGUCGAUCAACAGCCGAUCGAGAAUUACAGCGAGUGGCGCUUAAUCUACUUCAUCUCGUUUCUGCUGUUGGUCGGUUUCUUCGUGCUCAACAUGUUCGUCGGUGUCGUCGUCGAGAAUUUCCAUCGUUGCCGUGAAGAACAGGAGAAGGAGGAGCGAGCUCGGCGGAUGGCGAAGCGGGCGCGCAAAAUGGAAAAAAAGCGCAGAAUUGGUACUGUAGUCGCACUCAAUGACGUCGUCAUCGAUGGCACUGACCCCGGACCUAAGCCCAGAGCCGUGAGAACGGAGAUGCGACGGCCUCCCUACUACACCAACUAUUCACGUUCGCGGCUAGUCAUUCACAAUGUGGUGACGUCCAAGUACUUUGACUUGGCCAUCGCCGCUGUUAUUGGUCUUAACGUCGUCACAAUGGCCAUGGAAUUUUACCUUAUGCCACCUGAACUGGAAUCGGCGCUGCGCAUUUUCAAUUAUUUCUUCACGGCCGUCUUCAUCAUCGAAUCCGUCUGCAAAGUCGUGGCCUUGGGAGUGCGACGGUACAUCAAGGAUCGCUGGAAUCAGCUAGACGUCGCCAUCGUCAUCCUGUCUAUCGUUGGCAUCGUUUUAGAGGAGAUGAAAUCCGAUUUAAUUCCAAUUAAUCCCACAAUCAUCCGCGUUAUGCGCGUUUUGCGGAUAGCCAGAGUGUUGAAGUUGCUGAAAAUGGCCAAAGGAAUCCGCUCUUUGCUGGACACAGUGAUGCAAGCACUUCCGCAAGUCGGCAACUUGGGACUCUUGUUCUACUUGCUAUUCUUCAUUUUUGCUGCCCUUGGAGUCGAAUUGUUUGGUCGUUUGGAAUGUGAUGACGACCAUCCGUGCCAAGGUCUUGGCGAACACGCCCACUUUGCAAACUUUGGCAUCGCUUUCUUGACAUUGUUCCGCGUGGCGACGGGCGACAACUGGAACGGCAUCAUGAAGGACACACUGCGUGAAAACUGCGACCCGUCGGCCGAUUGUAUCAGGAACUGCUGCGUAUCCCGCAUUAUCGCGCCCAUCUUUUUCGUCAUUUUUGUCCUGAUGGCUCAGUUUGUCCUGGUCAACGUCGUCGUCGCUGUUCUCAUGAAACACCUAGAAGAAUCGCACAAACAGAUGGAAGACGAUAUGGAAAUGGAGAUGGAAUUGGCCGAAGAAUUUGCACCUCUGCCGACCGCUAACGACGAGACUGUUAAAGUAAACGACGAGCUUGAAGAGCUGGAACUGACUAACACCGCUGCAUCCUGAGUCUUUACCUUUAUCUCAUCGAACAAGUAGAAAACGUUUUUUUUUUCUUUCUUUCGUCCUAGAGAGGUUAAAUUUUAAGAAAUCAGUCCAUUUGUUUUUUUCUUGUGAAACCAGAUGGGUAAAAUAGUUUCGUCUCGUCGACGGAUGUUUAUAGAAAUUGUGCGUCGUAUUGAGAAAAAAAAACUUGUUCUGUAUUACCUGUUUCGAAAUGCAUCAGGUAUCGCACAGGAAUAGUUUUCACGUCCGUAUCUCCAUCUCGUCCUUCUUCGUUUCCCUCCUUUUUAGUUUCAAUCAAUUUUUUUCCAAAAGAUGAUUAUAAUCAUCGUUUUUUUUUCUUUCUAAAUAUGGACAAGCACUUGAGCGCCUUCUCUCAUUCCUCCUUGUGUAAUCAACAUGUUAUCCUGCACCCUGCAGCUCCUUCCAUCCAAGACCAGCAACUUCGCUCUUUGAUUUCUUCCCUUUGCAAUUUUUUUUUUCUCUUUUUUGACUCUCUCCCUUUACUUUUGUCAAAUUGAGAAACGAAAGAGUCUCACACACAUGAUCACCUGACCGUCUCACCAUAAUAUUGUGACUGUUUGCGUAGAGAGCAUUGUAUUUUCGACUUGUCGUCAACGGCGAAAUGAAAACCUCUUUGUUUUUUCAUUCGUUUUUCUCUCUAGUGUAAAGUGACCCUAACUAAACAUCGGAAACAUUUUUUUGUUAAAUAUAUAUAACUGUUUUCAUGAUAGUUUACUAUAUCGUUUAAAAAUGAAUCUUUCGGGAGGAUUGUAUUCGAGUUUAUAGCAAUACCUUAUGAUUAUUACUCACCUUACAUUUGAAGUGAACAGACGAAAAUGAUACACCCCCUACACCAGUGAGUACCGUAUACCCUCAAGCCCUCCCGAAUUCUGUACCAUUGUAUUCUCCUCUUACGUGAAUGCCCCUGUAAAAUGACGCUGUGUUACAACCGCAAAAUUUGUUUCCGUUUAAAUUUUUGUUUACUAUUUAGUUUUAAAGAAUUUUUACGUGGAAGAAAAAAAAUUGAUUCGAAAAAAAAGUUAAUUCAAAUGCGGAAUCUUGUGCGGUACCGUGUUUUAUUUUUAACGGUGAUCUUCUUGCCAAACCAUUCGUCCUGAUAAUCGACUUUACGUGGGUUUCGCUUUAUUUUACCAUAUUUAGUGUAAUCACGUUUCUGGCGUUUAAAUCGUUUGGCAUUUAUUUCGUCUCUGUUGUGGUACUUUUUUAUCGCAACAGGAAUGUGAAAAUGCCCUUUUCAGUGUUGACUGAAGAAAAAAAAAACCGGCCGUGACAUGAGUAAUUAAUGGCACAGCUUACGUGUAACUUCCUCUACUCCCACUCGCAGUUGACAGGGUAUCCGUGCGAUACCUCAAAACUCGUGUAGGCUACUCCAAACUACAGUGUAGGUAUUGAUGCAAUGUCUCCGUGAGCUUUUGACACGUCCUCACGAAAUUGAACAACUUUAUCUCGUUUGCUUAAUAUCAUUCUUAUCUGACCCGUUGGGCGUUUCUAUAAAGUUUCUAGCUAGACUCACGAAUGUGGCAGUCGAUCGUCUCAGUUUUCCAGUUAAGAAUGGCCGGUACGAACAAAUUGUUCAAGGUGUUUGCAAUCAUUUUAUUGCUGGGCGCCGUACUCCUAAUUGUCGACGCUUCAAAUAAGAAACAUUUGAAGAAAAAAACAGCUUCAAAGAAGACCUUCAAACAGCUUCUAUUUUCCGACGAUGACGAUCUGAUGCUCGGAGAUGAACCGGAGUCUAGCGGUGAUGGUUCUAAUGUCCCAGAUAAUGAAGGAAGUGCGAGUCCAACAAUCAAGUCCUUGCCACAAGCUAACCAGGUCGAUCCUGAUUUCUCCAUCGACGGAUUACCGGACAUCAACGAUCUUCUAACCGAAGAAGGAAAUAAUUUUAAAUGGCCAACGUUUAAACCUCCAGUGCAGCCAACGGCUAGACCCCCUGCCAUUCAACUAACUCUUGUCCACCGGUGAAACUCCCCUGUCAAUCGGGUCAACCUUGCCCACCGGCCCAACCGCCCUGUUAUGGUAAACCCUGUCCACCAGUACAACCUCCGUGCAAUACAGGUAAACCUUGUCCACCGAUCCAACCUCCUGUGCGACCUCCAUGCCAGUCAGGUAAACCUUGUCCACCGAUCCAACCUCCUUGUCAUUCAGGUAAACCUUGUCCACCGGUCCAACCACCGGCCCAACCUCCUUGCCAUUCAGGUAAACCUUGUCCACAGGUCAAGCCUCCGUGCCAGCCUAAUCGCCCAUGUCACUCUAAACUUCCGUGCCACUCAUCUAACGGUCUCUGCAACCCACUCAGCCUGCCGCCUGCAUACAGCCCAACCAGCGUGUGUGGAAAAACCUACUUUUGUCGAAAAGGUUUCAGCGGCCCUUGUAAUAGAAAUGAAGUUUUUACUUCUUCGCCGAGCCAUUUAUCACGGCCCGUCUCUUUUGCACGCUCGAAGUGCUCCAACUAUUUUUCUCCGCCGCCAGGUUGCUUUUCAUCAACGAAUAAUCCGUUCACUUUAACAGGCAAGAGCUCACCUGGGUAUUGUACGAUUCGCUAUGCCCAGCAGCCUUGCUACGGCUACCCUUCGACGUACCGCUAUUGCAAACAAACGAAACACUGCUAUCCUACCAUGUCCACGUCACUGUACAACCCAAGACCAUCACACGGGCCGUGUCUGGCUGACCAGUAUUUUACUGCCACAGAUCAAAGCUACGGUUAUUGUCGUUGCAGUCGUCCCAACUAUGUUCAUUGUCCAAAGACCAAUCGCUGUUAUCCAGCAUACACUAAGGGCUCUUGUUCCACCGGCCAGUGGCUUGUUCCACACGGAAAUCAUGGCUUAGCUACCUGUAAAGCUUGCCCUUGCCCUUCGCUGGCGGACGGUCAGCACAUUUACUGGAGCGGGACGGGCCAGCAACAUGGAAGACCGGGUUGCUACAAGUCACAAACCCGUGGUCCUUGCCGACACGGCAUGCGAUUUGUGAUCAGCGAUAUUCUCACGGGUUCUGCGCAUUGUGUCCGCAAUCACUCGGACAAGAGACGGCCGAGUUCGAGUUACAACUCGUUGUUGAGCGACUGGAACUUGUUUUACGGGAAAUUCUAAGUUUUAACCGGCCAGUGCAAUAAGUUUUAGAAAUUUGCCGAACCAAUCGUUUGUAAGAAAACGUAUGUAUGUAGUCAGGAUAAAAAUGCAAGAUUUUGAUUUUAAAACUCGCAAAAAUCCAAUUCAGUACUGCCAAGAAAUAUAAUAGCCUUUCUUUUUGCCCCUA